AUUGAACGCUGGCGGCAGGCUUAACACAUGCAAGUCGAACGAUGAAACUCUAGCUUGCUAGAUAUGAUUAGUGGCGGACGGGUGAGUAACAUUUAGGAAUCUGCCUAGUAGUGGGGGAUAGCUCGGGGAAACUCGAAUUAAUACCGCAUACGACCUACGGGUGAAAGGGGGCGCAAGCUCUUGCUAUCAGAUGAGCCUAAAUCAGAUUAGCUAGUUGGUGGGGUAAAGGCCCACCAAGGCGACGAUCUGUAACUGGUCUGAGAGGAUGAUCAGUCACACCGGAACUGAGACACGGUCCGGACUCCUACGGGAGGCAGCAGUGGGGAAUAUUGGACAAUGGGGGCAACCCUGAUCCAGCCAUGCCGCGUGUGCGAAGAAGGCCUUUUGGUUGUAAAGCACUUUAAGCAGGGAGGAGAGGCUAAUGGUUAAUACCCAUUAGAUUAGACGUUACCUGCAGAAUAAGCACCGGCUAACUCUGUGCCAGCAGCCGCGGUAAUACAGAGGGUGCGAGCGUUAAUCGGAAUUACUGGGCGUAAAGCGAGUGUAGGUGGCUCAUUAAGUCACAUGUGAAAUCCCCGGGCUUAACCUGGGAACUGCAUGUGAUACUGGUGGUGCUAGAAUAUGUGAGAGGGAAGUAGAAUUCCAGGUGUAGCGGUGAAAUGCGUAGAGAUCUGGAGGAAUACCGAUGGCGAAGGCAGCUUCCUGGCAUAAUAUUGACACUGAGAUUCGAAAGCGUGGGUAGCAAACAGGAUUAGAUACCCGGGUAGUCCACGCCGUAAACGAUGUCUACUAGCCGUUGGGGUCCUUGAGACUUUAGUGGCGCAGUUAACGCGAUAAGUAGACCGCCUGGGGAGUACGGCCGCAAGGUUAAAACUCAAAUGAAUUGACGGGGGCCCGCACAAGCGGUGGAGCAUGUGGUUUAAUUCGAUGCAACGCGAAGAACCUUACCUGGUCUUGACAUAGUGAGAAUCCUGCAGAGAUGCGGGAGUGCCUUCGGGAAUUCACAUACAGGUGCUGCAUGGCUGUCGUCAGCCCGUGUCGUGAGAUGUUGGGUUAAGUCCCGCAACGAGCGCAACCCUUUUCCUUAUUUGCCAGCGGGUUAAGCCGGGAACUUUAAGGAUACUGCCAGUGACAAACUGGAGGAAGGCGGGGACGACGUCAAGUCAUCAUGGCCCUUACGACCAGGGCUACACACGUGCUACAAUGGUAGGUACAGAGGGUUGCUACACAGCGAUGUGAUGCUAAUCUCAAAAAGCCUAUCGUAGUCCGGAUUGGAGUCUGCAACUCGACUCCAUGAAGUCGGAAUCGCUAGUAAUCGCAGAUCAGAAUGCUGCGGUGAAUACGUUCCCGGGCCU
rnacentral:rRNA from 1 species